GCCCGGGUAGCUCAGCUCGGAGAGUACCAAAUUCGAGACCUGGAGGUUCUCAGUUAGAUCCUGCAUCUGGACA